CGUGGGUGAAGACGGCCUGCGGGUUGUAAAGCCCUUUUGGUGGGGAAGAAAGGCGGGGUAUGAACAGUGCCCGGCUGUGACGUUACCCACAGAAGAAGCACCGGCUAACUCCGUGCCAGCAGCCGCGGUAAUACGGAGGGUGCGAGCGUUAAUCGAAAUUACUGGGCGUAAAGCGCGUGUAGGCGGUUAGGCAAGUCAGAUGUGAAAGCCUUUCGCUUAACGGAAGAAUUGCAUUUGAAACUACCUGGCUGGAGUUCGGGAGAGGAGAGUGGAAUUCCCGGUGUAGAGGUGAAAUUCGUAGAUAUCGGGAGGAACACCGGUGGCGAAGGCGGCUCUCUGGCCCGAUACUGACGCUGAGACGCGAAAGCGUGGGGAGCAAACAGGAUUAGAUACCCUGGUAGUCCACGCGGUAAACGAUGGGCACUAGGUGUAGGAGGUAUUGACCCCUUCUGUGCCGAAGCUAACGCAUUAAGUGCCCCGCCUGGGGAGUACGGCCGCAAGGCUAAAACUCAAAGGAAUUGACGG
rnacentral:rRNA from 1 species